rnacentral:rRNA from 1 species
GGGAGGCAGCAGUGGGGAAUAUUGGACAAUGGGCGGAAGCCUGAUCCAGCCAUGCCGCGUGUGUGAAGAAGGCCUUAGGGUUGUAAAGCAUUUUCAGGGGUGAGGAAGGGUGAUUGGUUAAUACCCAAUUAUCUUGACGUUAGCCCCAGAAGAAGCACCGGCUAACUCUGUGCCAGCAGCCGCGGUAAUACAGAGGGUGCAAGCGUUAAUCGGAAUUACUGGGCGUAAAGCGCGCGUAGGUGGUUUGUUAAGUCGGAUGUGAAAUCCCAGGGCUCAACCUUGGAAUGGCACCCGAUACUGGCAGGCUAGAGUACGGUAGAGGGGUGUGGAAUUUCCUGUGUAGCGGUGAAAUGCUUAGAUAUAGGAAGGAACAUCAAUGGCGAACGCGACACCCUGGACUGAUACUGACACUGAGGUGCGAAAGCGUGGGGAGCAAACAGGAUUAGAUACCCUGUUAGUCCACGCCGUAAACGAUAUCUACUAACCGUUGGGUUGUAAUGACUUAGUG